AUAUAUUCACCCAUGAGAGCUUGCCAGACCCCAUGGGGCUGAGCGAGACGACGUAGCAUGUGCUGCUGUGUCUACCUAGAACGCGAGUGAGAGAGCAAUUGAGGGAGCCUAACAGGAGGAAAGGAUUUGACCUGUCUUACCUGCGCUAUCUGGGGUGUUUCUUGGAGCUUUGUGAGGGGAGGACCUGAUGCCGCAUGAAGGAACAGGGUAAUGAAGGAUGGGCUCUCUCCACUCUCUUGAAAAAGGCAACUUUAUAUGAUGUUUGGAGACUCCUCCAUCCCCAAGAGUAUGACUUUGCUCAUUUUUCUUAUAGACAUUGUUCCUAUGCAAGAAUUGAUAUGUUAGUUGGUAAUAUUAAAUUACUUAAUUGCAUUAGAAAAAUCUUUAUAAAGACUAUUAAUUGGUCAGAUCAUAAUGCAGUUAUAUGGGAAAUAGAUGCUAACCAGAAGAGUGGCACAAUACAGUGGGGAUUGAACAAGGCCCUCCUGAACAGUGAUAAGAACAGAAAACACAUUGAUCAGAUUACAGAUUUUUUUUUUUUAGAAAACAAAUUAGCAAACCCGGGCAUAAGAUGGUUAGCACACAAAGCUGUAAUAAUGGGCCAUUUGAUCAAACUGGGUAUUUAUAAAAAAAUAAAAUGAGAUGUAGUACCUUGGCUUAUUUACAUCUUACUUUAUAUAAUUUGAAAAAAAAAUAACACGAUCAGACCUACAAAGGAAGGUUUAAUAUAUAUAAAUGGGGAAAAUCCUAUUAGGGAAAGAAAUGGAACAACAUAGUGCAAAACUGUGCGUUUACAGUGUUUAAAUGUAAUACAAAUGGCCACUCACAAAGAUGUGUAGGAUGUUAUAUUUGCCUUCAGUAUAUAUGUAAAUGCAGAUCUGUUGAAGAUCCUGGAAGAUUGGUCUCUCCAAGUUGUAAAAAGAAACAGCAAAGUAUCCAGUUAAGAGGCAACCUAGAUAGAAUGCACAAAUUUUUUUAUUUAUUAACUUACAUAGAAGUUGACAGGUUUCAGCAUAAAAGUAGUCAUCCUAUGCGUUUCAUACCGUUCAGGGACUUCAUCAGGGACAAUCCAAUAAUUGUAAAACAAUGAUAAAACGAAGGGAGGUACAGAGAACAUUAGGCAUGUCAGAAAUCGGAUAAAUGAAUGAAAUAUGACAAGAACUUCUGAUAAUUUAGAAAAAUGAAACAACAUUGGUAUAUUAAUAAUAAACGAGUAGAUAAAAUGCUUACCAACAAAUUAAAAAAGCAAUCGGAGGAGAAUAGGAUAGAUAAAAUAAUCCAUAACCAUAAGAUCUAUAGAGUUCCUAAAGAGAUUGGCCACAGUUUUAACAGCUAUUAUAAAGCGCUAUACAAUUGCUCUAAGACGCCUAAUUCUUGUAAUUUCGAUCAAUUCUUGUAUGGUAUUCAAACACCUAAAAUUAGUCUAGAACAGAAAGUAUCACUUGACAAAACCAUCCAUCUGAACGAGGUAAUUAAGGCCAUUGAUACAUUAAAAAAUAAAAAAGCUCCUGAUCCGGAUGGUUUCAGUACCCACUUUUAUAAAAUUCUUAAAGCAAAAAUAGUUCCCGAAUGGUUGCAAGCGUUUAAUGAUUAUAUCUAUCAAUCUAAAUGCCCGGCAGGGUUUCUGUCAGCUAAUAUUCUUCCUAUACUCAAGCAGGAUAAGGAUCUAACGUCUCUAAAAAAUUACAGACUGAUAUCUCUUAUCAAUACCAAUGCUAAAAUAUUUGCUUUCAUUGUGGCGGACAGACUUAAGCUGGUUAUUGCUCACGUUAUCUCUAAGGAUCAAAUAGGUUUUGUCCCCGGUCGAAGCUCUAUAAAUAAUAAGUAAAAAAAUGUCUUAUAUGUAAG